rnacentral:misc_RNA from 1 species
AACGCACCUUGCACCCUUUGGUAUUCCGAAGGGUAUGCCUGUUUGAGUGUCAUGAAUACCUCAACCCCUAAUAGUUUUAUUACGAAAGGCGUGUUGGUCUUGAGCGUUUGCCGGUCUAGUAUCGGCUCGCUUUAAAUUCAUUAGCUGGAUCCACCUUGACCUGGUUCUACUCGGCGUAAUAAGUUAUUAUCGUCGAGGAUAGUCUUUUCGGAGGCUAGCCACAGUAAUGGUGCUUGAGCCGCUUCUAAUACGUUAGCUGCUUGCAGCAACACUUUUAAGCUCUGACCUCAAAUCAGGUAGGAUUACCCGCUGAACUUAA